AUUGAACGCUGGCGGCAUGCCUUACACAUGCAAGUCGAACGGCAGCACGGGAGCAAUCCUGGUGGCGAGUGGCGAACGGGUGAGUAAUAUAUCGGAACGUGCCCAGUCGUGGGGAUAACGUAGCGAAAGCUACGCUAAUACCGCAUACGAUCUAUGGAUGAAAGCGGGGGAUCGCAAGACCUCGCGCGAUUGGAGCGGCCGAUAUCAGAUUAGGUAGUUGGUGAGGUAAAGGCUCACCAAGCCGACGAUCUGUAGCUGGUCUGAGAGGACGACCAGCCACACUGGGACUGAGACACGGCCCAGACUCCUACGGGAGGCAGCAGUGGGGAAUUUUUGGGACAAUGGGCGCAAGCCUGAUCCAGCAAUGCCGCGUGCAGGAUGAAGGCCUUCGGUUGU
rnacentral:rRNA from 1 species